rnacentral:rRNA from 1 species
GACGAACGCUGGCGGCGUGCCUAAUACAUGCAAGUCGAGCGAAGUUUUUCUGGUGCUUGCACCGGAAAAACUUAGCGGCGAACGGGUGAGUAACACGUAAAGAACCUGCCUCAUAGACUGGGACAACUAUUGGAAACGAUAGCUAAUACCGGAUAAUAGCAUUAACUGCAUGGUUGAUGUUUAAAAGUUCGUUUUGCUAACACUAUGAGAUGGCUUUGCGGUGCAUUAGCUAGUUGGUGGGGUAAAGGCCUACCAAGGCGACGAUGCAUAGCCGACCUGAGAGGGUGAUCGGCCACACUGGGACUGAGACACGGCCCAGACUCCUACGGGAGGCAGCAGUAGGGAAUCUUCCGCAAUGGGCGAAAGCCUGACGGAGCAACGCCGCGUGAGUGAAGAAGGAUUUCGGUUCGUAAAGCUCUGUUGUUAGGGAAGAAUGAUUGUGUAGUAACUAUACACAGUAGAGACGGUACCUAACCAGAAAGCCACGGCUAACUACGUG